GAUGCUGGGCAAGGACGACGAUGAUAUGUCAAGAGUGGAGUUUCCGUGGCAGGGAGUCUAGGAGGAGCCACACUAGACUCUCCAGCGAUUGGAAUGGAUAAGACUUAUGUAGCGGAAGGUGUAGGAGGAGCUAUAGUAGAAUCCCUAAAGGCCGGUAUAGGUAAAACCUCAGAUAUAUCAAGAUGGUCAAAAUGGUCAGAAGAGGUAAGGAGCUAUAGUAGAAUCCCUAAAGGUCGGUAUAGGUAAAACUUCAGAUAUAUCAAGAUGGUCAGAAUGGUAAGAAGAGGUAAAGAAAGGUUUAGACUCAAAAAAUGUGACAUCAGCUAACAUAAGGUACCUACAAAGAUCAGGUGAAUAACAACGAUAGCCCUUCUAGACACAAGAAUAACCAAGGAAGACACACUUGAGAGCACGAGGAGCUAACUUAUCUUUCCCAGGGGCUAAGUUAUGAACGAAACAAGUGCUCCCAAAAACACGAGGGGGAACAGAGUAUAAGGGUGACU
rnacentral:lncRNA from 1 species